UACGGAGGGUGCGAGCGUUGUUCGGAAUGACUGGGCGUAAAGCGCGUGUAGGCGGCGACGCAAGUCAGGUGUGAAAGCCCUGGGCUCAACCCAGGAUGUGCGCCUGAAACUGCGUCGCUUGAGUAUGGGAGAGGGGCGCGGAAUUCCUGGUGUAGGGGUGAAAUCCGUAGAGAUCAGGAGGAACACCCGCGGCGAAGGCGGCGCCCUGGACCACUACUGACGCUGAGACGCGAAAGCGUGGGGAGCAAACAGG
rnacentral:misc_RNA from 1 species